GGCACUGUGGUUCAAGUGGUAGAGUGCUUGCCUUGCAUGCAUGAGGCCCUGGGUUCAAUUCCUCAGCACCA
rnacentral:tRNA from 1 species